GUCCAGACUCCUACGGGAGGCAGCAGUGGGGGAUAUUGCACAAUGGGGGGAACCCUGAUGCAGCGACGCCGCGUGGGUGAGGAAGUACCCCGGUAUGUAAAGCCCUUUCGGCAGGGAAGAAAAUGACGGUACCUGGCGAAGAAGCCCCGGCUAACUACGUGCCAGCAGCCGCGGUAAUACGUAGGGGGCAAGCGUUAUCCGGAUUUACUGGGUGUAAAGGGGGCGCAGACGGCGAUGCAAGCCAGGAGUGAAAGCCCGGGGCCCAACCCCGGGACUGCUCUUGGAACUGCGUGGCUGGAGUGCAGGAGGGGCAGGCGGAAUUCCUGGUGUAGCGGUGAAAUGCGUAGAUAUCAGGAGGAACACCGGUGGCGAAGGCGGCCUGCUGGACUGCAACUGACGUUGAGGCCCGAAAGCGUGGGGAGCAAACAGGAUUAGAUACCCCCGUAA
rnacentral:rRNA from 1 species